CGGCAGCGGAAGCUGUACAGCAACAAUCCUAGCAAGAAUUGGUGCGGCUGGAGAUCAACAAAGUGGAGCCAUGUCUUUUUUGAGCAUCCUGCUACAUUUGACACGUUUGUAAUGGAGACAAAGAAGAAGGAAGAGAUCAAGAAGGACCUCAAGAAGUUCAGCGAGGGGAAAGAGUACUGUGCGAAAAUUGGGAAGGCUUGGAAGAGAGGCUAUCUCCUUUACGGUCCUCCUGGAACUGGUAAAUCAACCAUGAUUGCUGCCAUGGCUAAUUUUUUGAACUAUGAUGUCUAUGAUCUUGAGCUUACCAAACGGAGCUGAGGACUCUCUUGAUUGAGACCUCAAGCAAGUCAAUCAUAGUUAUUGAGAACAUUUGACUGCUCACUUGAUCUUACUGGUAAACGUGAAAGGAAAAAGGAGAAAGAUGAGAAUGAAGAAGAAAUGAAUCCAAUUAAAAAGAAGGCAAAGAAUAGAGUGAGAGCAAACAAAGUAAAGUCACUUCGUCUGGGCUUCUGAAUUUCAUUGAUGGCCUUUGGUCAGCUUGUGGGGGGAGAAAGGAAUUGUUUUCACUACAAAUUAUGUUGAUAAGUUUGAUCCUGCUUUGAUAAGGAGAGGCAGAAUGGACAAGCGCAUAGAAAUGUCUUAUUGUUGCUUUGAAGCAUUCAUGGUGCUAGCCAAGAAUUAUUUGUUUAUUGAGUCACAUGCAUUGUUUGCAGAAAUUAACAGUUUGUUGGCUGAAACCAACAUGGCUUCUGCUGAUGUUGCGGAGAAUUUGAUGCCAAAGUCUGAUGAGGAGGAUGCAGAUUCUUGUUUGAAGAAUUUGAUUGAAGCUCUUAAGGUGGCAAAGGAGGAGGCAAGAAAGAACGCUGAAGAAGAAGCACUGUUAAAGGCAGAGGAGGCGAAAAAGAAGGCUAAGGAAGAAGCAAAAGCAGAGAAAGAAGAGGACAAGCAUGUCAUACAGAAUGUGAAAGAUGAUGGAACUUCUGAUAUUGGAGUGAAACAGAAUGGUUUCAUUAAUAAAGCAGGUGGAGGAGGGGAAUACUUGAUCUUGAAUGCUAAUGGGGAAAUGGGCAAUUGAGGCUCCAGCACUAGCAAGAAUUAGCAAUAAUUUUAUAGUUAAUGUUAGAAGCUGGAGCCAAAUGUUGAUUAGCAGAUGUUUUAUUUUAUCUCAAUACUUUGUAUCAUUGUAUGCAACUUCUGUGAAUUCUAAUGUUACAUUAAUAGAAGUAAUCAUAGCUACAUUAGCUUUUAUUUUAACUAUUUAAUCGUGGAAUGCUUUUACUAGGGCUUUAGGAAAUUCAAAGAGAUUCGAUUGUCAAUUAACAUAUGAUGGUGAAGAAAGUGAAGUUAGAUGACUAACGCAUGCUAACUUUUAGAUUCAUCCAAAUUGAUUCAAUUCAUUUGUACUGCCACAUAACCAUAUUUUCAUCCUCCGCUGUUUUAAUCAUUGAUUGUGGCAGUUGGACCAUUUCUAAAAUGAAACUAAUUUGUUUAUAAGACUUAAGAGUCAAGCCUGCUAAGCAAGAACUUUUUUUUUUCAUUAUUAUUAUUAACAAUAAUUACUAAUAAUAAUAAUAAUUUUUGAAUAAUAAUAAUAAUAAAAAUCGAAAUACAAAAUAAUAAUUAUGACAAUAAUUAAUUAAGAAUAUUUUAAUAAUUUCUAAUAAUUGAACUCAUUUUGAUCUCGACUCCAAUAUAAAAUAAAUACAUCAAUAAGAAAAGAGUCCAUUCUAAUUUUAAACAACUUAUUCUACUGUUAAUUUUUUAUUUCAAUUCCAAUCUAUUUCAAUUUGUUUAGUAAACGUACAUAAAACAGUACGAUUGACUAAUUAAAAUAGUGGUCAUCUGGGUCUUAUUUAAUAAAUUGUUAAUAUUUAUUUUUAAAUAAUUAUUUUGUAAUAUUAAAGGAAAAACCGUCAGGAGAUUAUUAUCUUAAAUAAUCAUUUAAGAUACAUGAUUUUUGUACUGCAGUUGAUGAAAAUCUAACAGUUGUGAAAAUAUAAUAUAAUAAAAUUAUGUUAUUUUCAUGACUAUUAGAUUUUUAUCCAACAACUAUUGAAGAAUUAUCUAUCUUACAUCAUCAGGAAAGAUAACAAAAGCCGCCAUUUUACCCUUUUUAUUGGUCUGAGAGUCAACCCUCUCACAUGCUUUUCUGCCGACGUAAUUGGCAUUUGGCUAUUAGCAAAAGCAUUACGUGGAGGUCAAAGAUGAAGGCUAAUAUGUACAAUGGAGUUGGUGACAGAUAAAAACACAAAGACAGCAGAAAAGACAGAAAUAUUUUUCUUUUUAAGAAAAUUUUAGAUUACCUCUAAUAAAAAAAAUAAUUUUUAAAAUACUAUCAAAUUAUUAUAAAUUUUAAUUUAACUCUUUUUUAUUUUAAAAAAUAAUGGUGAAUUAAUGAAAAAUCUUUUAUAUUCUUUACAAAAUUAGGAGCGAGUUGAUAUUUACGAUAACUUGAAAAAUAUUUUAAAGAAUGUAAUUUUACAAGAGUAAUUAAAUUUUCUUUUUUCAAAUUAAAGAAAGACCGACCUUGACUCUUUAAGUCUUUGCGGAAGCCACUCGGAAGAAAGCAAUUAGGCAGUGCUGGUGAUAGCUUCAUAGCGGUGAUCAGCAAGCCAAAACACAAUAUUUAAAGACCCUUCUCCACACUAAGCUUACAGAGUUUAUAUACUAGUUUUGUCUGAAAUACCUAGAGAGUAACGUAGCAAAAUGGUGACUACUGGAGAAUUGUGGGCAACUAUAGGCUCAGUUAUGGCGAGUGUCAUGUUUGUAUCAGCUAUAUUCAAGCAAUACUUUCCAUAUCAACUUUGGGGCUAUGUUGAAAAAUAUAGUCAAAAAUUGUUUCGGAUUCUGUAUCCUUACAUAGAAAUUACGUUUCAUGAAUUCUCCGGUGAUCGUCUCAAGCGCAGCGAAGCCUUCUCCGCCAUACAAAACUAUCUCAGCACCACUGCCACUUUGCAUGCUACAAGGUUCAAGGCUGAUGUUGUCAAAGACAGUCAGUCUAUAGUCCUUAGCAUGGAUGAUAGGCAGGAGGUCACAGAUGAGUUUAAAGGGAUCAAAGUUUGGUGGGUGUUGGGUAAGAAUAUUCCUAAGACUCAGUCGUUUUCAUUUUAUCCAGCGACGGAUGAGAAGAGGUAUUACAGGCUCACGUUCCAUAAGAGUCACCGGGAACUCAUCACCGGGCCCUAUGUUAACCAUGUGUUGGCUGGAGGAAAGGCUAUCACCGUGAAGAACCGGCAACGGAAGCUGUACAGCAACAAUCCUAGCAAGAAUUGGUAUGGCUGGAGAUCAACAAAGUGGAGCCAUGUCUUUUUUGAGCAUCCUGCUACAUUUGAUACGUUGGCAAUGGAGACAAAGAAGAAGGAAGAGAUCAAGAAGGACCUCAAGAAGUUCAGCGAGGGGAAAGAGUACUAUGAGAAAAUUGGGAAGGCUUGGAAGAGAGGGUAUCUCCUUUACGGUCCUCCAGGAACUGGCAAAUCAACCAUGAUUGCUGCUAUGGCCAACUACAUGAACUAUGAUGUGUAUGAUCUUGAACUUACCACAGUGAAAG
rnacentral:lncRNA from 1 species